AGAGUGAACGCUGGCGGUAGGCCUAACACAUGCAAGUCGAACGGCAGCACAGUAGGAGCUUGCUCUUACGGGUGGCGAGUGGCGGACGGGUGAGGAAUACAUCGGAAUCUACCUUUUGGUGGGGGAUAACGUAGGGAAACUUACGCUAAUACCGCAUACGCCCUUCGGGGGAAAGCCGGGGACCAGCAAUGGCCUGGCGCUGAUAGAUGAGCCGAUGUCGGAUUAGCUAGGUUGGUGAGGUAAUGGCUCACCAAGGCGACGAUCCGUAGCUGGUCUGAGAGGAUGAUCAGCCCACACUGGAACUGAGACACGGUCCAGACCU
rnacentral:rRNA from 1 species